rnacentral:rRNA from 1 species
ACUCCUACGGGAGGCAGCAGUGGGGAAUAUUGCACAAUGGGGGAAACCCUGAUGCAGCCAUGCCGCGUGUGUGAAGAAGGCCUUCGGGUUGUAAAGCACUUUCAGUAGGGAGGAAGGUAGUNUAGUUAACACCUGCAUUAUUUGACGUUACCUAGCAGAAUGAAGCACCGGCUAACUCCGUGCCAGCAGCCGCGGUAAUACGGAGGGUGCGAGCGUUAAU